rnacentral:rRNA from 1 species
AACGAACGCUGGCGGCAUGCCUAACACAUGCAAGUCGAACGGGAUCCAGGCUUCGGCCUGGUGAGAGUGGCGGACGGGUGAGUAACGCGUGGGAACCUGCCCAAUGGUCUGGGAUAACCGCGGGAAACUGCGGCUAAUACCGGAUAAGCCCGAGAGGGGAAAGAUUUAUCGCCGAUGGAGGGGCCCGCGUCCGAUUAGGUAGUUGGUGGGGUAAUGGCCUACCAAGCCUACGAUCGGUAGCUGGUCNGAGAGGAUGAUCAGCCACACUGGGACUGAGAUACGGCCCAGACUCCUACGGGAGGCAGCAGUGGGGAAUAUUGGACAAUGGGGGCAACCCUGAUCCAGCAAUGCCGCGUGAGUGAUGAAGGCCUUAGGGUUGUAAAGCUCUUUUGCCAGGGAAGAUGAUGACUGUACCUGGAGAAUAAGCCCCGGCUAACUUCGUGCCAGCAGCCGCAGUAAC